rnacentral:rRNA from 1 species
AUGAACGCUGGCGGCGUGCCUAAUACAUGCAAGUCGAGCGAACAGAUGAGGAGCUUGCUCCUCUGACGUUAGCGGCGGACGGGUGAGUAACACGUGGAUAACCUACCUAUAAGACUGGGAUAACUUCGGGAAACCGGAGCUAAUACCGGAUAAUAUAUUGAACCGCAUGGUUCAAUAGUGAAAGACGGUUUUGCUGUCACUUAUAGAUGGAUCCGCGCCGCAUUAGCUAGUUGGUAAGGUAACGGCUUACCAAGGCAACGAUGCGUAACCGACCUGAGAGGGUGAUCGGCCACACGGGAACUGAGACACGGUCCAGACUCCUACGGGAGGCAGCAGUAGGGAAUCUUCCGCAAUGGGCGAAAGCCUGACGGAGCAACGCCGCGGGAGUGAUGAAGGUCUUCGGAUCGUAAAACUCUGUUAUUAGGGAAGAACAAAUGUGUAAGUAACUAUGCACGUCUUGACGGUACCUAAUCAGAAAGCCACGGCUAACUACGUG